CCCUUAGAUGUUCUGGGCUGCACGCGUGUUACAAUGGCGCUUGCAACAAGUCUUGCCAACCCGAUAGGGUGAGCGGAUCUUUGAAGAGGCGUCGUGAUCGGGACAGUUGAUUGCAAUUAUUCGACUCGAACGAGGAAUUCCUUGUAAUCGCGAUUCAUCAUAUCGCGCUGAAUACGUCCCUGCCCUUUGUACACACCGCCCGUCGCUCCUACCGAUUGAGCGAUCCGGUGAAUGUUUUGGACUGGCGUCAGAAGCGGUUCGCUCCUGACACUACGAAAUUUUGUAAACCUUAUCGCUUAGAGGAAGGAAAAGUCGUAACA
rnacentral:rRNA from 1 species